AUCAAUUAAGAAUUUCGGAAACGGAUAGGCUCGCGUGACAUUAGCUAGAUGGCGGGGUAACGGCCCACCAUGGCGACGAUGUCUAGGGGUUCUGAGAGGAAGGUCCCCCACACUGGAACUGAGACACGGUCCAGACUCCUACGGGAGGCAGCAGUGAGGAAUAUUGGUCAAUGGUCUGACGACUGAACCAGCCCAUGCCGCGUGAAGGUGACAGCCCUAUGGGUCUUAAACUUCUUUUGUAAGGGAGCAAUAAGGUCUACGUGUAGGCUGAUGAGAGUACCUUACGAAUAAGCAUCGGCUAACUCCGUG
rnacentral:rRNA from 1 species